AGCGAACGCUGGCGGCAGGCCUAACACAUGCAAGUCGAACGAACACUUCGGAGUUAGUGGCGGACGGGGGAGUAACACGGGGGAAGGUGCCUAUUGGUUCGGAAUAACUCAGGGAAACUUGUGCUAAUACCGAAUGUGCCCUUCGGGGGAAAGAUUUAUCGCCAUUAGAGCGGCCCUCGUCUGAUUAGCUAGUUGGUGAGGUAACGGCACACCAAGGGGACGAUCAGUAGCUGGUCUGAGAGAAUGACAAGCAACACUUGGACUGAGACACGGCCCCGACUCCUACGGGAGGCAGCAGUGGGUAAUCUUGCGCAACGGGCGAAAGCCUGACGCAGCCAUGCCGCGUGAAUGAUGCAGGUCUUAGGAUUCUAAAAUUCUUUCACCGGGGACGAUAAUGACGGUACCCGGAGAAGAAGCCCCGGCUAACUACGUG
rnacentral:rRNA from 1 species